rnacentral:lncRNA from 1 species
CUUCAGUCUAAGAGAUAGAUAUGCCUGCAUCUCUUGCUGUAACCUGCAAUUUAAGAGGAAAUACCCUGAAAACCUGCCCAGUGUCUAUCAAAACCAAGAAAUGCAGGACAUGUAUCAUAUGAGGGUCAUUCGGAAUUGCAUUAAUUUCAUGAACAGAGGCUUCGGGGCUAACCUGUGCUUCUGUGCCAGGAGUUGCUCAAGAGCCUUCACAUCAACCUUUUCAAAUUUUGAAAAAGCCGUCACCCAAUGUCUCACUUUCUCUUUAUUUGAGAGCUCUAACGGGAACAAUGAAUCGGACAAAAGAAUCUCAAUUUCUUUGGAUCUGUAAAAGAUAUUGUUAGGAAUUUCUCUUAAUUAUACUAUCAACAAAAUUUGGAGAACAAAUGGGCUCAUUAUUUAUUUAUAAAAAAAAUAAAAAACAAACAUAUGCCCAUAAAUUCAAUCCAGUCUCCAGGUAGACGUAAGCCAAACCAUACUGCAGAAGGAACGUUGUCAAGAUUUGAUGCCCUACCUGAAAUCCUUGUCAUAAAAGCAUCGCAAUAGUUUUCCUGGAAUCCAGUCAUAUUCACCAUUUCCAAUUAAAUUAUCCGAAUCCUUCAGGCAAUAUAACCGGUAUAUUUCUGCUAGCCUUUCCAUGGUAUAACUUUUGACAACUAUCUGGAAUAUUUCAAAUAGAUAGGAAAAAACUGUACAUCAAUCAAACCCUUUAAAUAUGUUGAAGCACAAUAAAGAAAUAUGAAUCUUUAAGUGUGAGCAUAAGAAGAAGGGAAAAACAUACAGAUUUAUCACGAAGACGCUCAGCAACAAGUCUAAUAGUCUCAGUUGGAAUAGAUUUUAAUGAAGAAUUGGCCACAUCACAAAUUGCAGCUACAACUUCUUUCCGAACAUUUUCAUCAUAGUCUAACAGUCGAGCACUGAGUGCAGCUGAAAAAUGUGCAUUAAAAUGAGAGUAAAGUAAUGUAUCCAACACAAUUAAUCCUUCCCACAGAUGAAGCUAAAACAACUCAUGAAAUUCCUUCUUACAGAUAAUUUCAGGCGCUUCAGUUCGAAAUGGGUUUGACAGAAGACACUCUUUAACAUGCUCAACAACAGAUAUUCGCACUUCCACUACUCUAUCGGUUAGCCUUUUCAAAAACUCAGAGAAGAGUGGCAGAUAUGCUUGCGAGAUGACAUGUCCAGGUAAAGCAAACAAGCGUCCGAGUAGGUUCACUGAUUUCAGCCGAACAUCAAGCUGAUCAGUCUGCAAAAGUUUAAUUUUUCUUUACAAUGUGAGAGGGCGACAAGCUUCUCAUGUGUGACAACAAUGGUUAAUGGUAGAACUUCUAUAACAAUCAAGCUUACCAACAUGGUCAGAGAAUCAAAUAUUGAAGACCAAAUUAUGUUAUCUAAUCUGAGAAGCAAUAACGAUAAUGAAGCUCAUCAUCAAAAGUAGCAAGUUACUUCAUCAAUUAAUACAAUUACAAUCAAAAGAUUAGAAAUGGAAGAAAAUAAAAAAAGUUAGUGGUAUACUGGCCACAAAGGAGCAUGACAAACAACAGAAAAGCAAGUGGUGUACUUCGUGAGUCAUGUAUUGAUCGAAUGAAUCCACAAAGAAUCUCUGGAGCACAACAAUAAAUGAUACCAAUUUCAUAAUAAUCAGACUCAACAUCAAUUAAACAGUUUCAGCACAAAGAAACAUGAGAAAGAAGACAAAAGCUACCAGUAAUUCUCCCGUCAUGUAUGGGACGACCCCAUGAAGAAUCUCAGGAGCACAACGAUAUAUAUGAUAUAUGAUUUCAUGAUAAUCAAGCUCAUCAUCAACAAAAUGCUUGUCCCCCGACAGUGCUGAUAUAAGGAAUGGGUUAACAUAAGGCUCAAGUUUUCCAGCACAGUGCUCUACAACAUUCAUAGCCAAUCUCCUUGCAGCCAAAGAAACUUCCUACAUGACAAGUACCAAGACUGAAUUAGCAACUAUUUGCAAGUCCAAUGAAAAACUCAAACUAGAACGAAAAUCGCACAUGUGAAAAACAAUGAAUCAGAUUACAAAAAGUGGAAACUCACAUCUUUCCCCCGACCUAAGGCAGACAAUAGAACAAGCAAGAGCUCAUCCUGGAUAUCCUCGCUCUCAUCUAAAAGAAGUACCAUGAUUGUUUGCAUGGACAUUAAAACAUUAUCUAGAUAAUCAUCUCUGCAACCCCAAGAAAAACUUCAAUGAGAACAUAAUAAAGGCUUUAGUGAUCACAAGUUCUGAUGUCGAAAUAAAACAGAGAAAAAAAACCAUGUCAUAAGAAAUUUUUUUGUUUUUUUAUGUUGGUUAGUUAGAGACACAAUUAAAGAACUGAUAUAUAAAUAUCUAAUUGUAUAUCACUCUCACUAAAACAGAAAAUUCCAUUUGAUUGUCCAGUUUAGAAUUCAAAUAUACAACAGAUGAAUGACUGCAUAUUACCAAGUCACAAGCAAUUCAACCAUAUGUCUAGCCAAAUAGCAUCAUAAUGUGAUGCAAGACAAAAAAUGGAGUAAAUCAGCCCACUGCAAACAAAGUAUGAUAGUAGAAGUUUACAAACGCACUGGGUACUCCACCCACGCAUUGCACACAGUUUACAAGGGUACUCCAUUUUAUGCAUGUGCUGUAUAUUGACACAUAUUGACACACCCUGAUAUGGGUCCAGCAUGCACUCUGUACAUGCCAGAGAAUUGGACAUUCUGAUAUGAAGCAUCCACACAUCUGUCAGACGUGUCUAGUAAUUAGAAAAGCCGUCAGUUUCUAAAUUAUAUUAUAUUUCUCUUUUGUGGGACUUGAACUCAGAAACUUUCAGCAAAAGGGUAAAUGACUCUACCACUAUGUUAUCACCAUUUAUUGUUAACUAUUUUAUUAGUACUAUUAAAAGUAUCAUUAUUUGGAAAAUAAACUAUAAAAGAAUCGAAACAAACGACUUAUUUUAUGCAUUCCCCACCAUAAAACAGAUCUUUUUUGUCCUUAUUUUUAAAAUUUUGCAUAAUUCUCUUUUUGUAACCUUUCUGGAAUUCUCUACACAACUUAUACACAUUACAUUUCUAUAAAAUUACUUGUACGAAGAGGUCGGGCUGUAUUGGGUCUUCAGCCUAAAGUGCUAUACACCUAAGACACGUGCAAGACAAAACAUCAGCGUCGGCUUCUAUGUACCACUGCUUGCACAUGAUGUUAAUCGUCUCCUUCUGGCUUGCACAAUCCAUAGCAUAGUAGAGGCCUAUGCCCUUGAUUUAUCACCUUACAACAUUUGCUCGUUAGAUCCAAGCAAAUCGCCUACAUCCCUUAGCAAGCCACAUUACAUUGCAUAUAAGAACAUUUGUAUGAAGCAUAUACAUGUCUGUAAGUGAUAUUGGUGUGCCGUUGCAUGCCAAUCUACCUUAAAAAGUAGAAAUGCAUUCACAAAGGGUAAUUUAGGUUUGGAGAGGUGGAAAUCCACUGUAGUUCUGCAGCUUCCAUCUUUUGCAUACAGCAGUCAAAGCCAGGGUUAACCCAAUCGUUGUCCAGGCCCUUUAAGUGUUAGAAGAUAGGCAAAACACCGCCUUUUCACCUUGCUCUACAUUAAGUUUAGAAAGGGCCCCGGCCCUCUUUCCAAAUUGAUUGUACAAACUAAAUGGAGCAGUGGACUUAUCAGAACUUAAAAAAUGCGGUACUUUACAUAACUUAUUGCAAACACACCACUAGUCAUGUAAUAAUGAGAAAAAUUCAGUCAUUUACCACGCAAAGACACCUUAUUAACUUGGGUAAGCAGUACUAAAGAAUAAGAAAAAUUCAUUUCUGAGAAUAUUUUAUUCGAGGGAAAUAUUGGUCUGAUUUAAGGCAAAAACACUUGAUAUAGUAAUUUUUCAAAUGUGACAAAAGUACUAGUUGAUCUAGUUCUUAGUAUCAUGAGUUGAGUCAUGUGGGGCCGAAUAUUAUAGAUGUCACUCCAAGUAGUGCCACAAUUAGAUGUAUGGGAGCUAUGGAAUCUAUUCUAUGUUUUACUUACUCAAUAUGUGUCUCUUGAAUGCAGGGAUAUUUUUGAAGAAUUAGUAUUUCCAUACAGAACCAUGAGGCACACAUAUCAUGAUUGUUGUUCGUUUGUUACUCAAGCAUUCAUCCUUCUCAUAUUAGGCCUAUGUUCUCAUUAUUAGCCAUGUAAAGCACUAGGUUGCAAUUUCGAGUAAGACGCCACUCUGGGGAACUGGAGUAAACACUGGAAGUUUGAAGCUCAUGACAAAAAGAUAGUGAAAGUUCUCCAGAAGUUCGGACCUUUACUCUUUAACUUUGGUCACAGGCAACUAAUAGGUGUUUGACAAGACAUUAUUUACCAGGGGAGAGAGAGAGAGAGAGAAUGUGGAUAGUCUCAAUCUUUGAUGGCCCACCUAUGCUCACUUCUUUUAUUGUCCAUUUUUCCAAUGUUAGAAUAACGUGGACAAAGGUGACUAUAUAUCAAGUAGACCCAUGUGUAUAGAAAAGGCAAUAUGUACCAAGAUCUCAACACUCAACAGACGACUGGAAAAUAAGGGAUACGACGGAUAUAAAGCAUGCUUCCACGUCGACUACCUACCUCCUUGUGCACAUCAACCUUUGGAACCCAAGUUCUGGUUAUCUGGUAAUUAAUGGAGAAAACCAAGCAUUCUACUGCUUACUCACAGCAACAGCUCUUGGACUAUAUUUGAAGCAAUAUAGGCUUACUGAACAGCCUAAAAUAUUCCGUUGCAGCCAACUUAACCUUCAAAUGCAUCUUAUUCCCGCCCCACUUGCCCUUCAGUACUCUGCUCAUAGCCAAUCAUCUAAGUCUCCGUUUGACCAAACUCAAUAGAGAAUAUGGAAUACAUUGAAGUGUGAUAAACAAACCGCAGGUUCCAUAUUUUGCAAUUGUGUAUUCAUUGCAUCUCUUUUGCAAUGGGCAAAAAUCCAGGACAGACCUGAAAUUUUGCCUACCAUGAUAUCGGGCAUUCAUAACGAAAGUAGUGGCUUACCAUUUUGGGUAAUUGAAGAAGCCAGUUGAUAUUAUAAAAUCAUGACAAUUUUGGAUUUCCAAUACCCCAAGCGUACUCGUUGGGAUCUGAAGCAACAUGGGAAUGGAAUAGGGAGCAGGAGGAGGGGACAUCACAGGCUAGAAGAUCCCUAUGGUUGGGGAUUUGGUCCGUAUAAUGCAUAUGUUAUGGAUCGUGAUCCCCAAAUAUUAGGGAUCUCAAUCCCAGUCUUUAAGGGAUCUCGAUCCCGACCUUUUUCCAUUUCAAACCCUAAUGUUUGGAAUUUUGCUCUCAGCCCUAAAAAACAUAUAUAGUCUAGGACUAUACAUACUCUUCAAAGUAAGGAUCUCUUUGCUCAUACAAUGAAGAAUUACGACUGCAUUAAAAGUAUAGUAGUUCUACUUCUUUUUUAACAUUAAAAGUAUAGUUGCAUUGCUAGCUGAUUAUAAAUAAAGAAAAACAUCAGUUUGGUAAUUAUCUUCGGCUUUAAAGCGGGGAUUGGGAUCCCUAACAAUGAUUGUCGAGAUCCCAAAAUUAACAAUGGUUGUCGAGAUACCAAAAUUUAAAAUUCGAGAUUCAUUGAAGAUCCCUUUCCCAGAGCGCCAGAGCAAUAUUCCAGUGGGCAAUUGCCAGCGAGGUUGGGAGUUCCCAGCAACUAUGAUCUUGAAAAUUUCAAAGAUAUUAGGAGCCAUCAAACAGACUCUUUAAAAUCACAGCAACAGAACUGCUCUCAUCAAUAGGACCUUAUUCUUUUAUCAUAUUCAUCAUGAACCAGAAUAACAACCUAAGUCACCACUUGCUAAUCUCAAAUGGGAAAAAUGCUAUCCAGGGCAACAUCAGAUAUACCAGAUAUGGCAGAACCAGAUACACUAGAUAUACCAGGAUUCCAAUCGAGUUCUGAAUAACAAGAACACCAACAUCCCCCUAUCCCUAUGGAGAAAACGUACAUGCAGGAAAAUUCAUAUCCAAAUUCCUCAUCCCAUCAAAGAGGAUCAAACUUCAUCUUCAUUGAGCUCAAUGACACUAAGCAUUCUUCUAAAAUAAUUGAUACUUUGAAUCACAUCUGCAGGUAUCAAGCACUUAGCCCUCUCGGAUUCACAAUCCAUUUGGAACUAGUACAUGCUCAAUGCCAUCCAGUAAGAACAGAUCUAAUCAACUCUACUCCAAAUCAACUAACUCAUAAAAUCUCAUAGUCCAUAUUUUAGCUGGAUUAUGGAGGUAAUGAACCCCAUAUAUUCUAAAAUGAUUGAUACUUUGAAUCACAUCUGCAGGGUGACACUUAGCCCUCUCGGAUUCACAAUCCAUUUGGAACUAGUACAUGCUCAAUUCCAUCCAGUAAGAACAGAGAUCUAAUCAACUCUACUCCAAAUCAACUAACUCAUAAAAUCUCAUAGUCCAUAUUUUAGCUGGAUUAUGGAGGUAAUGAACUCCAUAUCUCUGAUGCCCAACACCAAACAAUAAACCCAAAAAAAAAGAGGAGGAAAAGUAACAUGAAGGUAUCUGGCAAUCCAGGCAAUUGGGUAAGGCGAUCUGUGAUUACGCAUUUUCACAAAAGCAAGGCCCUAGCAUUAUAGCAUCUAACUCAAUCCCAAUUUCCAUAUCAAGCAAGUUGAUAUUGCAGUCGAUAAAAGCUACAUGGCCGAGUCUAGCUGAAAAUGAAUGAGCUUGGCUCAUGGAGCUUGACAAGCAAAAGGACAUCAUUAUUAAUAUAUGCACAAAAGGUACUUGGUCUAAAUUCAUUGAUGCUGUAUUAUAUAGUUUAGGAAGAGAUAAAAAACCCUGUCGAAGUUCAAAACCCGCAACUCACAUCAGCAUUUGAGCAAGUCUUGAGAUGAAUCUUAAGAGUGACACUGAGCCUUAGCCAUGUCCAAAUGACUUGACCAAGACUAAGAAGGGUGCUGAUCCCAGUCGACUUCGGCUCAUAUUUUUAAUUUUAUCUUUUAGCCAUUAAAAUGCUCCAGCUUCAGCAGAUAUGCAUCUCCAACUUUGGAUGAUGACAUUCUGCCACAUGGCCAGACUAUGCAUCUCAGAGAGACACUAGCUACAAUAGAAAUUCUAGGUAAG